rnacentral:rRNA from 1 species
GAAUAUUGGACAAUGGGGGGAACCCUGAUCCAGCCAUGCCGCGUGUGUGAAGAAGGCCUUUUGGUUGUAAAGCACUUUAAGCGAGGGGGAGGCUACUCUAGUUAAUACCUAGGGAUAGUGGACGUUACUCGCCACAUAAGCACCGGCUAACCCGAUGACAGCCGCCGCGGUAAUCCAGAGGGUGCAAGCGUUAAUCGGAUUUACGGGGCGUAAAGCGCGCGUAGGUGGCCAAUUAAGUCAAAUGUGAAAUCCCCGAGCUUAACUUGGGAAUUGCAUUCGAUACUGGUUGGCUAGAGUAUGGGAGAGGAUGGUAGAAUUCCAGGUGUAGCGGUGAAAUGCGUAGAGAUCUGGAGGAAUACCGAUGGCGAAGGCAGCCAUCUGGCCUAAUACUGACACUGAGGUGCGAAAGCAUGGGGAGCAAACA